rnacentral:rRNA from 1 species
CACGUAGGGGGCGAGCGUUGUCCGGAUUUAUUGGGCGUAAAGGGCUCGUAGGUGGCUCGUCGCGUCUGCCGUGAAAACGAGGGGCUUAACUUCUCGCUUGCGGUGGAUACGGGCGGGCUAGAGGCAGGUAGGGGAGAGUGGAAUUCCUGGUGUAGCGGUGAAAUGCGCAGAUAUCAGGAGGAACACCGGUGGCGAAGGCGGCUCUCUGGACCUGUUCUGACGCUGAGGAGCGAAAGCGUGGGGAGCGAACAGG